AUCUGCUCUGCUGCAGUUUUGUAAGUGAGCCCAGGAUAGGGGCUGGUGCUCCAUUUCCUCUCACCUUGAUACGUCUUCAGCCAAGUACAGAAGUACAGAAAAGAGAGAGCAGCAAAUCUGAGCAUGCUGUGGCUGUACUGAAGGAUUUUGCACUGCUGGGGGACAAGGUCCGUGAAGCUGCUUCUGGGUUGGCCUUCAGCUUGCUCGUGCAUCCAGACAUGGUGAACUGGAGCUUUGGCAUAGUGAAUUAAGAAGAAAGGAGGUUUCAAGAGAGGACAACACACUUGUUUUUUCCGCUGCCUGCAGAACCAGCACUUGAUCUCAUGAGUUAGAUGACUUUUGAAAGGUGCCUGGAAGUCCCUUGCAGAAGUUGCUGCUCCCAGGAAUGUGCUGACAUAAUGGCUCCUACAGAAGCGUGAAGCUGAAUCAGGUCCUCGCUCUGCUCUGUGCAGAAUUAUGUCCCAGUGAGGAGGGAUCAGAAAGAGGCUUCCUGAAAUACUGCCCUUGCACUAGAGAGGCUGGGAAGGAGGAGAACCCAGAAAUAAAACAUAAAAAAUGUGUUCUGGCCACUGAAGCCAGUGUUGGCACAUCUUUUCAUGGAUCACUCUGGACUGGGGAAGUCAUCUAAUCAAGAACAGACUAGCAUGGACAAAAGCUGGCUCAGCUUCCAGGCUGCUCCACCCAGGCUGGAGGCAUCUUCCUGUGUUCUGUUUGUGUCAUGUUCGUAUGUCAUUGGAGAGCUGUUUCUUUAACCUGCUGGGAUCUCCAGGCUAGUGUGGAUUACAAUGUUCUCAGCAAUUAAGGCACCUGGUUAUACAGUGCUGGUAUUAGCAACCACCCAAAGGACAACAGAAAGUUUAAUGUGAUUAAAGAAGGUCCGGAUGAUGAUGGCACUGGCAAUUGCAUCCAGCUGAGGGUUCCAGAACUACAGGGCAUAAAAGGAGCAGAUAUCCACAGCCCUUGGGCACUGAACAGUGCCACUCUCUCCCAAGUGGGAGAAUAGCCAGCUGUGACAUCCCCUGAGUGCAGCAGACACAUCAGCCAGAGGCCUGUGAGCACUUGGAACAUUAGGAGGGUUUGGAAAUCAACAAGGCCUGGACUCCCAUGACUAUGUCCAACCACAGCUUGAGGGUAUCAUUGUGCUAAAAGACUGGUUGUACAUAACACCAGGUAUAGCAACUGCUUGGAAAUGAUAGAUAUUUAAAUGCUGCUUUCUCCCAUCAGCCCUAUCAAGUCAGCAGGGCAGGGAGAGCUUGUCCUUCACAGCAUCCUUCCCUGCCCUCCAGGCCCUGCCAGCCCUGGUACCCCACAGCAUGCAUGGGUGAUCUCUGAAAGCCUCUGCUGGGCUAAACACCACCUGAUUCAGAGGGACAGAAGGAAGCCAGGGCUGGUGCUCAGUUCCCAGUCUGUGCAUGAGGUAGAAGUAAAACCAGCUGACUUCCUAUCACACUUGAGUGUAUCCACACUGGAGGUACCAAGUAAAUUCAGGGACUGGUCCUUGGAUUUUGUUUUUUGGGUGGAUCUGCCUUUUAGAAUGGGGACAGAUGAAGAUCUGGAUCCUGUGACACAUCAAGCACGUGUCAGACUUACAUCUGCUGACUGGGCUGCUUUUCUUGGGGAUGGGUUUUAAUUCCAAGGUGUGGUACCAAAGUUCUCAGACAGUCUUCCUUUGACACGAGUGGAAAGUUUUGCUGAAGAAGACUUCUGCUUUCAGUCAUGCUAUUGAGGGGCCUGGAUUACAGCUACUUUGUUUAAGAACACAUCACAGCAGGGAAGAAGUCCUCACCCCAAGGGCAGGAGAAGACCUGCACACAGAGCAGUGCAGCACAAGGAAAGAGAGAUAGAUUAUUUUUCUCUCAAGAAAUAUAUGUGAUGAAGGCCAGAGAAGAGCCCAAUGGGAGCAUCUGCCAUUGGAGAUGCAAAUGUAAGAGCCAGUCUAUUUGAAGUUUGGCAACACUAAAGUAGGGAUCUGCCUCUUUCAGUGUUCCUGUGGACACAAGUGCAAGCAGAUAUUUGGAGGUUGUGUAUGAGCACUGAUUGGAUCCUGCAUUUUCACUUUGGUGCUGAAGCUGUUGCUAUGAGUUCUUAGGCUGCCUGAGCACAACCUCAGAAGUGCUAUUGGUCUGAAAGCUUCUACGACUGGAGUAUUUUAUCUUCCUCAUUUUCACCGACGCAACAGAGAUCCAGAAGUACAGUGAGACUUCAGAGGGCACUGUGUUGUCUGUAGUACUUUGAAGAAACAAUACGCUUUUUGAAACUGGUCUAGAGUCACUGCAGUACCUGGGCUGCUUUUGGUACCAGCAUGGAAGCAGGAAACUGUUCAACUCAGCACCAGUGACCGGUCUAAAACAGUCAUGCAGCCACUUCAAGCAUUUUGAUUUCCUGCAGAAUUGAAGAGUCAGAGAACAGGGAGACAGCUGUGCUGUCAUGGAGCAUAGGUGGAGAGCCCAUAUCUGAACUCCUCAGCCACAGAGGCAGACUCCUCUCAUUGGAAGGGGCUUGGUCCUGGAAAUUAACUACCACUAGAGAUCCAUCUGGACCUCCUUAGUAAAGAACAGCACCAAAGUGCUGCUACAUCUAUGAACACUUGAAGCAGGUAGAUAGAUUCAGGACUGCAUUGAAAAAAGAACCAACGGAUGGUUGGACUGGAUGAUCCUGUAAGUCUUUUCUAACCUUGGUGAUUUUAUGGUUUUUAUGAGAAGAAAACAAGCAAUGUGAUGUGAUCAUUACUCCAGGGAGACCUUGCAGCAUGUUUCCAGUACCUAAAGAGACUACGUGAAAGUAAUAGGACCACAGGUUACAGCUUUAAACUAAAAGAAGGUAGGUUGAUUGGAUGUUAGGAGGAAACUCUUCACUAAAGGACAUUGAGGCCCCGGCACUGCUGCCCAGAGAGCCGUGGGUGCCCCAUCCCUGGAGGUCAUAGAAUCAUAGAAU